AUAAUGGUGCUCAGAUAUUACUUUUGCAUCUCCAGGAUAUAUGGCUAGAAUUGAAACUGCUGGAUCAAAGGGGCAGUGUACUCAUGAAGUUGAAAAGUGCAAGAGGACUCCUAAUAAACCUGAAAGUGACUCUGCUAAUUUUGUUACACUACCUCUCAUCCUUUGGGCCUUGGUGUCAAUGUCACCUUCUCAGAAAUGCCAUUCCUUGAACAAGGGUGAUCUAAAACCAACCAUUCUCUCCCUUUAUCCCUAAUUACAAUGCACUCUCUGUAAUCUUUAAUUAUUUUACUUAUUCUGUUGCAUGGUUAUUAUAUUCUGUCUCUUACCACAAAUAAGCUCCAUGAGAGUAAAACCAUACCUGUGUCUAGUUCACUGUUGUGUUCCCAUUAUACUUCAUGGACCCUAGCACACAGAAGAUACCCAAGCAAUGCUUGAUGAAUGAAAGAAUGAUCUUAAUGGGUUACUAUGCAGCCAAAUUUGGAAAUCUGAGACAAGAGGAAAGAUGACUACUAUGGUACAGAUGUGAUAAUCCACCGUUGAGAG
rnacentral:lncRNA from 10 species